AUUGAACGCUAGCGGCAUGCCUUACACAUGCAAGUCGAACGGCAGGCACGGGGGCAACCCUGGUGGCGAGUGGCGAACGGGUGAGUAAUGCAUCGGAACGUGCCCAUCGAUGGGGGAUAACUGCGCGAAAGCGUUGCUAAUACCGCAUACGACCUACGGGUGAAAGCAGGGGACCGCAAGGCCUUGCGUCGAUGGAGCGGCCGAUGCCGGAUUAGCUAGUUGGUGAGGUAAAGGCUCACCAAGGCGACGAUCCGUAGCUGGUCUGAGAGGACGACCCAGCCACACUGGGACUGAGACACGGCCCAGACUCCUACGGGAGGCAGCAGUGGGGAAUCUUGGACAAUGGGCGAAAGCCUGAUCCAGCAAUGCCGCGUGUGGGAAGAAGGCCCUCGGGUUGUAAACCACUUUUGGCGGGAAAGAAAUGGUCUGUGCUAAUACCACGGAUUGAUGACGGUACCCGCAGAAUAAGCACCGGCUAACUACGUG
rnacentral:rRNA from 1 species